rnacentral:lncRNA from 1 species
AAUUUGCUCCACUUUCAUCCUCCUUCUCGAUGAAAUUAUAAUUUUUACUCCUUAAAAAUAACGAUGUUAAAUUUUCAAUAAUCUGGAUAACGGCGUGUCAUGUUUCAUGCUAUAUCAGAAAUUGAAAAUCUAAACUUAAGAUGAAAAUGCUUUGGUUCUCUUUCUCGUUACCAUGGCUAACAACUCUCCUCCCUCUCUCUGCCUCGGUCUCCACCCUUAACACCAUCACCUUUACCUCGGCCUUCCACCUCAAUCUCGCCACCCUCCGUUGUCUCGCCUCUCAUCUCGCCGUUCCUGUUGGGUGCGCGGCGACAAGUUGUUGGGCCGGGUUCAUCUCACCAUUAACCUCUCCCCUGCCCUCUCUCACUUCAAUACCUUUCACAGUGACUGGAGUUGAUAC